UGGGGAAUUUUGGACAAUGGGGGAAACCCUGAUCAAGCCAUCCCGCGUGUGCGAUGAAGGCCUUCGGGUUGUAAAGCACUUUUGGCAGGAAAGAAACGUCAUGGGUUAAUACCCCGUGAUACUGACGGUACCUGCAGAAUAAGCACCGGCUAACUACGUGCCAGCAGCCGCGGUAAUACGUAGGGUGCAAGCGUUAAUCGGAAUUACUGGGCGUAAAGCGUGCGCAGGCGGUUCGGAAAGAAAGAUGUGAAAUCCCAGCGCUUAACUUUGGAACUGCAUUUUUAACUACCGGGCUAGAGUGUGUCAGAGGGGAGUGGAAUUCCGCGUGUAGCAGUGAAAUGCGUAGAUAUGCGGAGGAACACAGAUGGCGAAGGCAGUCUCCUGGGAUAGCACUGACGCUCAUGCACGAAAGCGUGGGGAGCAAACAGG
rnacentral:rRNA from 1 species